rnacentral:rRNA from 1 species
CCUACGGGAGGCAGCAGUGGGGAAUUUUGGACAAUGGGGGCAACCCUGAUCCAGCAAUGCCGCGUGUGCGAAGAAGGCCUUCGGGUUGUAAAGCACUUUUGGCAGGAGCGAAACGGCUUGGGCUAAUACCUCGAGCUAAUGACGGUACCUGCAGAAUAAGCACCGGCUAACUACGUGCCAGCAGCCGCGGUAAUACGUAGGGUGCAAGCGUUAAUCGGAAUUACUGGGCGUAAAGCGAGCGCAGGCGGUUAUGUAAGACAGAUGUGAAAUCCCCGGGCUUAACCUGGGAACUGCAUUUGUGACUGCAUGGCUAGAGUGUGUCAGAGGGGGGUGGAAUUCCACGUGUAGCAGUGAAAUGCGUAGAGAUGUGGAGGAACACCGAUGGCGAAGGCAGCCCCCUGGGAUAACACUGACGCUCAUGCUCGAAAGCGUGGGGAGCAAACAGGAUUAGAUACCCGUGUAGUC